UGGUGCGGCAAGGCGGCCGCACGCCGGGCGUGAAAGUCCGGUGUGAGGAAAGUCCGAGCACGGAAGGACACGGUGGUGGGUAACGCCCACCCGUCCGCGGCGGUCGCGGGCGCGGGCCAGUGCCACAGAAAGCAAACCGCCGAUGGCUGGUAGGUCGAUUCUCCGAAUCGACGAGGUGAGUCAAGUCUGCGAAUCGACAUCUGAAUCGGCCCCUCGAAGAGUCGACUCGGAGAUUCGACCUACCAGAACAGGCAAGGGUGAAAGGGUGCGGUAAGAGCGCACCGCCCGGGUGGCGACAUCCGGGGCACGGUAAACCCCACCGCGUGCAAGGUCAUGCAGCUCCCGUCCGUCUUUGGUUUCGGCCACUGGCGGGACGGCCGGUCCGGCCGGAAGGGAGCGGGUGGACCGCUCGGGUAUGUGCGUCCCGGACCGCGUCGGCAACGGCGCGGCAAGAGAAAUGGCCGCCCUGUCCGGCAGGCGCAGCACUGCUGCCUCGUGCAGCAGAGCCCCCGUCAAGGAGCGCUGCGAACCACCGGACGGACAGAACUCGGCUUACCAGCCGCACCGACCG
rnacentral:RNase_P_RNA from 1 species